UAAAAGUGCUUGCUGCCAAGUUUGA
rnacentral:piRNA from 1 species